CUGAUACAGUGAUGAGUGCAUAGUUCAGCAGAUUACAUCAUGAAGAUUAACCAUUGUCUUUCGCUCCUAGCUGAUGUAUCAG